UCCGGACGCCCGGCAAGGAGGCCAAUAGAAAGACACUCCGGCUACACACCCGCCCUGAUCCUCGAGGAGCGAACCGCUCAGAGCUCAGAGGUGGGACCUGAUCCUGCCGCCCGGAGCAAGUCCAGUCCGGCCGGGCGGCGUCGCAGAGGGAGUAGGCCUGGGCAGGUCUGGAGCCUGACUGCCCUCAUUGUAGGCAGGUGACGCGUGCUGGGAGAAAAUAUCACACAAUAUAAAUGAUGCCUAAACAGACUGACAGAGGAACCAAAGAUGAGUCCAUGAGAAGUAAUUGAGAGAAGAGACAUCCAGUUGAGAAUGAUCUAUCUGAGGCUGGCUUACAUGGAGUGAGAAUACCAAUAGGGAAGUCAUACUUGGUGUGCCUCCAGGAAGUGAACAUAAAGCUGGCUGACAAGAGGAGAAAGCAGAAGGGAACGAAGGACAGACAGAUGAAUGGAAGCUCAGCCUAACACAGAGAAGGGCUGUCAAGAAAACAACUAAAAUGCAUUAGACAAGAAAUAGAAACAAGUAAAUCUGUUCUAAACUGCAACCAUCAAACUGAAACAAUAUGUUGGAUGAAGUUACAGCAAGAGGAGAUUUUCUAAAGUAAAAGAACUGUACCCAUUGUACAUAGUUGGUGAUGAAGAGGAUAGAUAAAAUAAAAAUAAAAUAUAGUAGUGA